GUUAUUUCAAUUAGAUAACUGCUUGGUUUGUAAAGGGUACAUCUAAAGUAAACAUAUUAUUUCAACCAAUCAGAUUUGAGCAGAUAUACGCCGUUUGUUCCAGUGGUAUGAAGAUGGGAUUUUCCGGGUCUAUCUAGACUGAGCGUUAUCUGACAUUGUGUUUUAGGGACUUCCCAAUUCACUCUUAAAAACAACGUUUUACAAUGCUGGGCAAUAAUAGUAAUCAAAGUUAUGAUUUAAAGUGUGACUGUAACUAUGGAAACGACUACGUGUGUGAGCAGAGAGAAACGUUUAUUCCAGCUGCAUGGAUAACCAUCAUACAGCUCUGUUUGACAGUUGAAUGUCCAGUAGUCAACAUAUUUAUCAUCGC
rnacentral:lncRNA from 1 species